UUUGAUCCUGGCUCAGGAUGAACGCUGGCGGCGUGCCUAAUACAUGCAAGUCGAGCGAACAGAUAAGGAACUUGCUCCUUUGACGUUAGCGGCGGACGGGUGAGUAACACGUGGAUAACCUACCUAUAAGACUGGGAUAACUUCGGGAAACCGGAGCUAAUACCGGAUAAGAUUUUGAACCGCAUGGUUCAAUAGUGAAAGACGGCCUUGCUGUCACUUAUAGAUGGAUCCGCGCCGUAUUAGCUAGUUGGUAAGGUAACGGCUUACCAAGGCAACGAUACGUAGCCGACCUGAGAGGGUGAUCGGCCACACUGGAACUGAGACACGGUCCAGACUCCUACGGGAGGCAGCAGUAGGGAAUCUUCCGCAAUGGGCGAAAGCCUGACGGAGCAACGCCGCGUGAGUGAUGAAGGUCUUUGGAUCGUAAAACUCUGUUAUCAGGGAAGAACAAACGUGUAAGUAACUGUGCACGUCUUGACGGUACCUGAUCAGAAAGCCACGGCUAACUACGUG
rnacentral:rRNA from 1 species